GGAUGAAGAGAGCUUGCUCUCUGAUUCAGCGGCGGACGGGUGAGUAAUGCCUAGGAAUCUGCCUGAUAGUGGGGGACAACGUUUCGAAAGGAACGCUAAUACCGCAUACGUCCUACGGGAGAAAGCAGGGGACCUUCGGGCCUUGCGCUAUCAGAUGAGCCUAGGUCGGAUUAGCUAGUUGGUGAGGUAACGGCUCACCAAGGCGACGAUCCGUAACUGGUCUGAGAGGAUGAUCAGUCACACUGGAACUGAGACACGGUCCAGACUCCUACGGGAGGCAGCAGUGGGGAAUAUUGGACAAUGGGCGAAAGCCUGAUCCAGCCAUGCCGCGUGUGUGAAGAAGGCUUCGG
rnacentral:rRNA from 2 species